rnacentral:rRNA from 1 species
UCCAGACUCCUACGGGAGGCAGCAGUGAGGAAUAUUGGUCAAUGGGCGCGAGCCUGAACCAGCCAAGUCGCGUGAGGGAAGACGGUCCUAUGGAUUGUAAACCUCUUUUGUCGGGGAGCAAAAGACGCCACGCGUGGCGUUCCGAGAGUACCCGAAGAAAAAGCAUCGGCUAACUCCGUGCCAGCAGCCGCGGUAAUACGGAGGAUGCGAGCGUUAUCCGGAUUUAUUGGGUUUAAAGGGUGCGUAGGCGGGCUUUUAAGUCAGCGGUCAAAUGGCGGGGCUCAACCCCGGCCUGCCGUUGAAACUGGCGGCCUCGAGUGGGCGAGAAGUAUGCGGAAUGCGCGGUGUAGCGGUGAAAUGCAUAGAUAUCGCGCAGAACUCCGAUUGCGAAGGCAGCAUGCCGGCUCCACACUGACGCUGAGGCACGAAAGCGUGGGUAUCGAACAGGAUUAGAUACCCGAGUAGG